rnacentral:rRNA from 1 species
AUAGCGUAUAUUAAAGUUGUUGCAGUUAAAAAGCUCGUAGUUGGAUUUGUGGCGUUCGCGUGCGGCCCGGCAUUCUUGUCGGUGUUUGCYAGCGUCGCCAUCCUUGGGUGGAACCAGUGUGGCAYUAAGUUGUCGUGCUGGGGAUGCCCAUCGUUUACUGUGAAAAAAUUAGAGUGUUCAAAGCAGGCUUAUGCCGUUGAAUAUAUUAGCAUGGAAUAAUAAGAUAGGACCUUGGUACUAUUUUGUUGGUUUGCGCACCAAGGUAAUGAUUAAUAGGGACAGUUGGGGGUAUUCGUAUUCCAUUGUCAGAGGUGAAAUUCUUGGAUUUUUGGAAGACGAACUACUGCGAAAGCAUUUACCAAGGA